AUCCAGCUGACGAGUCCCAAAUAGGACGAAACGUGCGUCAUGGAU
rfam:Schistosoma rodhaini strain Burundi genome assembly, scaffold: SROB_scaffold0000979